AUUCUGUUGACGAGUCACAAAUAAGACGAAAUGCGCAUCCUGGAU
rnacentral:hammerhead_ribozyme from 1 species